AAGUCGAGCGAGCUUGCCUAGAUGAAUUUGGUGCUUGCACCAAAUGAAACUAGAUACAAGCGAGCGGCGGACGGGUGAGUAACACGUGGGUAACCUGCCCAAGAGACUGGGAUAACACCUGGAAACAGAUGCUAAUACCGGAUAACAACACUAGACGCAUGUCUAGAGUUUAAAAGAUGGUUCUGCUAUCACUCUUGGAUGGACCUGCGGUGCAUUAGCUAGUUGGUAAGGUAACGGCUUACCAAGGCCAUGAUGCAUAGCCGAGUUGAGAGACUGAUCGGCCACAUUGGGACUGAGACACGGCCCAAACUCCUACGGGAGGCAGCAGUAGGGAAUCUUCCACAAUGGACGCAAGUCUGAUGGAGCAACGCCGCGUGAGUGAAGAAGGGUUUCGGCUCGUAAAGCUCUGUUGGUAGUGAAGAAAGAUAGAGGUAGUAACUGGCCUUUAUUUGACGGUAAUUACUUAGAAAGUCACGGCUAACUACGUGCCAGCAGCCGCGGUAAUACGUAGGUGGCAAGCGUUGUCCGGAUUUAUUGGGCGUAAAGCGAGUGCAGGCGGUUCAAUAAGUCUGAUGUGAAAGCCUUCGGCUCAACCGGAGAAUUGCAUCAGAAACUGUUGAACUUGAGUGCAGAAGAGGAGAGUGGAACUCCAUGUGUAGCGGUGGAAUGCGUAGAUAUAUGGAAGAACACCAGUGGCGAAGGCGGCUCUCUGGUCUGCAACUGACGCUGAGGCUCGAAAGCAUGGGUAGCGAACAGGAUUAGAUACCCUGGUAGUCCAUGCCGUAAACGAUGAGUGCUAAGUG
rnacentral:rRNA from 1 species